rnacentral:lncRNA from 1 species
GCCCAAUGAGUAAAACAGGAAAACAGACAUGAAAUUAAGAAAAUGAGAAACCCUGACAAAUUCUCAAAUGUAAAAAAAAAAAAUUAAGAAGCUCAACACAUUUCAAAUAGGAUAAACACAAACAGACACAUAACAAGAUACAUUAUAAGCAGUUUCAAAAAAUUACAGAUGAGAAGAGAAUCUCAAAAACAGAAAGGGAAAAGCAAUGUGUCAUCUAUAAGCAUGCUUCUAUGAGAUUACCAGAGCAUAGUUGUUUCAUAUACCAUCAUUCUAGUACUAUAGAAUUUUAUUUUUGUGUAUGUGAUCACGGGGCACACAGAGAAAAUAGGAAACCUGCCCUACUUGAAGAAACAAAUCUCCAGAAACUGACCCUUAAAAAAGGGAGAUUUUUGCAUUUUUUUGACAAAGAAUUUAAAGUAAUCAUCUUAAACAUGUUCAAUGACCAAAAGUAGAACACAUAUAGAUAACUCUACAAAAUCAGGUUGGGCAUGGUGACAAGAGCAUUAUGGUUUACAUAAAGUAAAAUACUCUCCUUGUUGUUCAUUUAAAAAUAAAUCCUGGCUAUGUACAGAAGCUCACACCUGGAAUUCCAGCAUUUUGGAAGGCUGAGGUGGGAGAACUGCUUGAGACCGAGUUCAAGACCAGCUUGAGUAACACGGUGCUCAACAUCACCGGUCAUCAAACAACUGCAACUCGAAACCACGAUGAGACAUCACCUCACACCUGUUUGGAUGGCAAAUAUCAAAAAGAAGAGAGAUGUGUAUUAUUCAAGGGAUGGACAAAAGCCCUGACUUCACUACUGCAUAAUCUCUCCACUUAAGAAAAUUAAUUUAUACCCUAAAUUCAUACAAAUAAAAAAAUCUACAAAAGAGAUAAUGUGGCAUAUACAUAAGAUUGAUAUUAUCAGCCUUAAAGGAGAUAUUGUCACAUUGUAUGAUAAGGAUAAAGCUUGAGAAUAUUAUGUUAACUGAAAUAAGCCAGUACAAGUAUUGACACAGGUGUGAAGAAAACUAAAUUCCAUAUGUUGUUGCUGUGUUGUAAACUGAUAGAGCCAUUAGCAAAACCAGUAUGGAGGUUCUUAAUUGAAAAAUGAAAAAGUAAAACUACCAUAUAAUUCAUCAAUCCCACUUCUGUGUAAAUAACCAAA